rnacentral:rRNA from 1 species
ACCAAUCGCCCGGCUCGUCCGGGCGUUGCCUUGGUGACUCUAGGUAACACAUCAGAUCGCAUGGUCUCAGCACCGGCGACUUAUCCUUCAAAUGCCUGACUUAUCAACUGUCGAUGGUAGACUCUAUGUCUACCAUGGUUGUAACGGGUAACGGGGAAUCAGGGUUCGAUUCCGGAGAGGGAGCCUGAGAAACGGCUACCACAUCCAAGGAAGGCAGCAGGCACGCAAAUUACCCACUCCCGGCACGGGGAGGUAGUGACAAAAAAUAACGAUACGGGACUCUUAUGAGGCCCCGUAAUCGGAAUGAGUACACUUUAAAUCCUUUAACAAGGAUCCAUUGAAGGGCAAGUCUGGUGCCAGCAGCCGCGGUAAUUCCAGCUUCAAUAGCGUAUAUUAAAGUUGUUGCGGUUAAAAAGCUCGUAGUUGGUUCUGCGUGCUACGCUGUCGGUUCGCCGCCUGCCGGUGUAACUGGCAUGCCGUGUCAUGUCCUGUCGGUGGCGUGCGGGAGCCUUGUCUAGGCGACGGCCCUUGCCUUCAAGCUUGGGUCCGGAGGCCGGAGGUCCAACCCGUGCGCCUGCUCUCUCCUACCUAGGUGCUCUUUACCGAGUGUCGAGGUAGGCCGACACGUUUACUUUGAACAAAUUAGAGUGCUCAAAGCAGGCUGAAAUCUCUGCCUGAAUAGUGGUGCAUGGAAUAAUAAAACAGGACCUUGGUUCUAUUUUGUUGGUUCUUAGGAACACAAGGUAAUGAUCAAUACGGACAGGCGGGGGCAUUCGUAUUGCGACGUUAGAGGUGAAAUUCUUGGAUCGUCGCAAGACGCACAAGAGCGAAAGCAUUUGCCAAGUAUGUCUUGAUUGAUCAAGAACGAAAGUUAGAGGUUCGAAGGCGAUCAGAUACCGCCCUAGUUCUAACCAUAAACGAUGCCAGCCAGCGAUCCGCCGAUGUUCCUCCGAUGACUCGGCGGGGAGCUUCUUCCCGGGAAACCAAAGCUUUUGGGUUCCGGGGGAAGUAUGGUUGCAAAGCUGAAACUUAAAGGAAUUGACGGAAGGGCACCACCAGGAGUGGAGCCUGCGGCUUAAUUUGACUCAACACGGGAAACCUCACCAGGCCAGGACAUUGGAAGGAUUGACAGAUUGAUAGCUCUUUCUUGAUUCAGUGGGUAGUGGUGCAUGGCCGUUCUUAGUUGGUGGAUCGAUUUGUCUGGUUAAUUCCGAUAACGAACGAGACUCUAGCCUAUUAACUAGGCGUAUUCCGGUGUCCUCGCCACCGGCGACAAUCAUUCUUCUUAAGGGGACAGGCGGCUUAUAGCCGCACGAGAUUGAGCAAUAACAGGUCUGUGAUGCCCUUAGAUGUCCUGGGCCGCACGCGCGCUACACUGAAGGAAUCAGCGUGUGCCUCCCUGGCCGAAAGGCCCGGGUAAUCCGCUGAACCUCCUGCGUGCUAGGAAU